GAUGAACGCUGGCGGCGUGCCUAAUACAUGCAAGUCGAGCGAACAGAUGAGGAGCUUGCUCCUCUGACGUUAGCGGCGGACGGGUGAGUAACACGUGGAUAACCUACCUAUAAGACUGGGAUAACUUCGGGAAACCGGAGCUAAUACCGGAUAAUAUAUUGAACCGCAUGGUUCAAUAGUGAAAGACGGUUUUGCUGUCACUUAUAGAUGGAUCCGCGCCGCAUUAGCUAGUUGGUAAGGUAACGGCUUACCAAGGCAACGAUGCGUAGCCGACCUGAGAGGGUGAUCGGCCACAGUGGAACUGAGACACGGUCCAGACUCCUACGGGGGGCAGCAGUAGAGAAUCUUCCGCAAUGGGCGAAAGCCUGACGGAGCAACGCCGCGUGAGUGAUGAAGGUCUUCGGAUCGUAAAACUCUGUUAUUAGGGAAGAACAAAUGUGUAAGUAACUAUGCACGUCUUGACGGUACCUAAUCAGAAAGCCGCGGCUAACUACG
rnacentral:rRNA from 1 species